CGAUGCGGUUCUAUUUUGUUGGUUUCUAGGACCGCCGUAAUGAUUAAUAGGGACAGUCGGGGGCAUCAGUAUUCAAUUGUCAGAGGUGAAAUUCUUGGAUUUAUUGAAGACUAACUACUGCGAAAGCAUUUGUCAAGGAUGUUUUCAUUAAUCAGGAACGAAAGUUAGGGGAUCGAAGACGAUCAGAUACCGUCGUAGUCUUAACCAUAAACUAUGCCGACUAGGGAUCGGACGAUGUUAUUUUUUGACUCGUUCGGCACCUUACGAGAAAUCAAAGUGCUUGGGCUCCAGGGGGAGUAUGGUCGCAAGGCUGAAACUUAGAGAAAUUGACGGAAGGGCACCACCAGGGGUGGAGCCUGCGGCUUAAUUUGACUCAACACGGGGAAACUCACCAGGUCCAGACACAAUGAGGAUUGACAGAUUGAGAGCUCUUUCUUGAUUUUGUGGGUGGUGGUGCAUGGCCGUUCUUAGUUGGUGAAGUGAUUUGUCUGCUUAAUUGCGAUAACGAACGAGACCUUAACCUGCUAAAUAGCCCGUAUUGCUUUGGCAGUACGCUGGCUUCUUAGAGGGACUUUCGGCUCAAGCCGAAGGAAGUUUGAGGCAAUAACAGGUCUGUGAUGCCCUUAGAUGUCCUGGGCUGCACGCGCGUUACACUGACGGAGCCAGCGAGUACUCCCUUGUCCGAAAGGUCCGGGUAAUCUUGUUAAACUCCGUCGUGC
rnacentral:rRNA from 1 species